rnacentral:rRNA from 1 species
UACGGAGGGUGCAAGCGUUAUCCGGAUUUACUGGGUUUAAAGGGUGUGUAGGCGGACCAUUAAGUCAGCGGUGAAAUCUCCGGGCUCAACCCGGAAACUGCCAUUGAUACUAUUGGUCUUGAAUGUUGUUGAGGUGGGCGGAACGGGUCAUGUAGCGGUGAAAUGCGUAGAUAUCGAGAGGAACACCUGCGGCGAAGGCGGGUUGCUGGGCUGACACUGACGCUGAGGCGCGAAAGCUAGGGGAGCGAACUGG